AGUUUGAUCCUGGCUCAGGAUGAACGCUAGCUACAGGCUUAACACAUGCAAGUCGAGGGGCAUCAGGAAGAAAGCUUGCUUUCUUUGCUGGCGACCGGCGCACGGGUGAGUAACACGUAUCCAACCUGCCCUUUACUCGGGGAUAGCCUUUCGAAAGAAAGAUUAAUACCCGAUAGCAUAAUGAUUCCGCAUGGUUUCAUUAUUAAAGGAUUCCGGUAAAGGAUGGGGAUGCGUUCCAUUAGGUUGUUGGUGAGGUAACGGCCCACCAAGCCUUCGAUGGAUAGGGGUUCUGAGAGGAAGGUCCCCCACAUUGGAACUGAGACACGGUCCAAACUCCUACGGGAGGCAGCAGUGAGGAAUAUUGGUCAAUGGGCGCUAGCCUGAACCAGCCAAGUAGCGUGAAGGAUGAAGGCUCUAUGGGUCGUAAACUUCUUUUAUAAGGGAAUAAAGUGAGUCUCGUGAGACUUUUUGCAUGUACCUUAUGAAUAAGGACCGGCUAAUUCCGUGCCAGCAGCCGCGGUAAUACGGAAGGUCCGGGCGUUAUCCGGAUUUAUUGGGUUUAAAGGGAGCGUAGGCCGGAGAUUAAGCGUGUUGUGAAAUGUAGACGCUCAACGUCUGCACUGCAGCGCGAACUGGUUUCCUUGAGUACGCACAAAGUGGGCGGAAUUCGUGGUGUAGCGGUGAAAUGCUUAGAUAUCACGAAGAACUCCGAUUGCGAAGGCAGCUCACUGGAGCGCAACUGACGCUGAAGCUCGAAAGUGCGGGUAUCGAACAGGAUUAGAUACCCUGGUAGUCCGCACGGUAAACGAUGGAUGCCCGCUGUUGGUCUGAAUAGGUCAGCGGCC
rnacentral:rRNA from 1 species